CUCUUUAAAGCAAAUAUCUACAGAGAUGUUUAUCACAUUAUCAUACCUCUGGUUGGAAACAAUAUUUUUGACUUGAUGGAUUUUAUAUUUUCACUAUUAGAAGCUACUCCUUUAUUCCCAAGUAUAAAAUUCUAGCUUCAAAGUAAAUGCUUGGCCAAUCAACACCAAAUAAGGCAGGAAAAAAAAAAAAAAAACGCAGAAAACUCACAAAGCCUCAGAUUAUAAGGGGCCUAGUCAGGUUUCAGAAACUCUAGUCCAAACAGGCAUUCCUAACCUAGCCCAGGCAGCUCUUACCUCAGGCACUUAGCAACGCGCAGGCCUUUUGAAUUUGCUUAAAACUAUUAAGAAGUAAUUAAGUAGUUAGAGGGUCUUUUUCAGCCCUGAGGUCCAGGAGGUGGGCUAAAUGAAAGAAAACAAGCGCAAUCGCUCAGCCUUGUCUUCCUUCUAGCUGACCUUGCACGCUAAUAAAUUCAUCCUGUAUUUUUCUGCUACUGCCAAUUUAUGGCCUACAGGAAACUAAUCUUGUACAAUAACUACCUUCCUGUACUUAGUUCCUAAAUAGAGCCAAAUGGAUUUGGUGGCGGAAGAGCUCCCCAGCACUUCCUGUGAGGCAGUUGCUGAGCCCAGCAAGAUCUGAUAGAGGCUUGAUGCGCUUAUCGACUCUGACGAUAUAAUUAUGUUCUUGUUUUGGCUGCCCUGCACUUAAGCACAGAAAAUAAAAAAGCAAUCCUCUGUACAACGCCUACCACAAUGAUUUAAACUUCAAACUGGAGGGUAAGAUGUGUAUUUGAAACAAGCCACGUAGGCACAGUUAUGGUGAAUUUAGGGAGUGAAACACACAGGUGAUCAAUAUUUCACUGGAGUCUUUGAUAUAAAAUAUAUAUCUGCUCUGUGAUUUCAAAAUAUUCACAAAGGAGUAAAUUUUUUAAUGAGCUAAUGAAAGAACUGUGUUUUCAUUUCAAACGGGAAGAGAGGGAGAAAGAGAGAGAGAAUAGAAAUAUAGAGCCAUUUCUUCAGUAAUAGUUUACAACCAGUUUGCCACAGGCUUGGAUUAAAGUAAGGAAAGGCUGUCAAAACGCAGGGUAACCUGUGUGAUAUCUUUUCAGACCCUCAAAUAGCUCAAAUACUACGCUGGGAAAACUCAGAGUUUGUCCUUUAAAGAACCUGAAAGUGUUUAAUCUUUGAUAAGUGCAGGCUCCUCAGGCUUUGCCGCUUCCCCACACCGGAUUUGCCUGCCACUCACCCAUACCGAUCUGAUGACUUCAUGUGGACACGGAUCGGUCCCGUAUGACAGCGUCUUCUUCCUGUGCUCAUUUAUUCUAGAACUAUAGCAAAGCUGCUAAUGCAAAGGGAAGCCUUCUACAAAAAGGAUGAAGAAAUCACCCUGACCAAGAGACCGAAGCAAAGAUGAAAGGAAGGCAUAAAUAAUCGCAGCUCGGGUCCGAUGAGACUUAUUGCUGGGGCUUUCAGACCUAGAGAGGUAGCAGGGGCGGGGUGGGGGUGCCUGUACGCGGGGGCGGGGUGUCCCACCCAGUUGACCUGGAUUAGAGCCCAUGGGGCUGCAUUCCGGGCUUCCGUGUUUCCCAAAGUUAUGUGGUGGCGGGGGGCCUGGCUGUUAAGGAUCUGGGGAUGUGGUUACCUAUGGCCUCUGAGGGUGACACCAGCUGUCCAGCACUGUGAAAUCAAACAAUGGUAGUGGGCCAGAAAGAUGGCUUAGCUUCCUCCUGAGUAUGAGCAAGUUUCCGUAACUGUGAAUCAUCCUUCCCCAACCAUAAAAGUGGGCAUAUUAAUACCUGUCUUGUAAGAAUCCUGUGAAGAUCAGGGAUAACAAAUGCAACUUAAUAAAAGUAACCUGUUAUGUGUUGGCUGGUGAUGCCAUAAAUGUAUUUUGUAAAAUCUUUAUAAUGGUGACUAACCAAUAUAUUAUUAUUAAUAGCAAUAGGAGUAUUGUCUGAUUCAAAGGGCGCAUUUAGAUUGUGGUAAUUCUGUGUGUGGCUGGAUGGGAGACUGGAGGGGGCUGGAGGUUUUAGGAUGAGUGGGACAGGGAUUAUUAGAAGUGGCUAAUAAAGAGAUCAAAGAAGUAACUUUGUUCCUAAUUUUUAAAAUCAUCAUUCUACCUCACUCUCCUAAAAGUGAUGAGGAUCAUAAUAUUUAUGCCUUACGUUUAUACAGGACUUUAUACUUGAAUAUCCCUUUUACAUCUCUGGUCCGUUUUAGAAAUUUGAGCCUAAACAUGGGAAGCAGAAAAAAAGUCAAUGUGGAAAAGCACUGUGCCCAUCCCAGUUUGGCCAGAAUGAUUUCAGAUUGUUAUCAAGAAAGGGAAUAGCGGCAGCAUGGUUUGGUUUUCCUCUCUCAAGAGGACUGGACACAGGGAAGGAACAGGAAAAAACCUCCUGAGCAAAGCAAGGUUCCAGAACAGACUAGUUCAAAGCCUACACAUGGUUAGUGCUCCGUGGAGGUGCCAGCUCACGGUUGGUGCACCGUGGAGGUGCCAGCUCAUGCUUAGUGCACCGUGGAGGUGCCAGCUCACGGUUAGUGCACCGUGGAGGUGCCAGCUCACGCUUAGUGCACCGUGGAGGUGCCAGCUCACGCUUAGUGCACCGUGGAGGUGCUGACUCAUGGUUCGCGCACAGCAGAGGCUCUGCGUUUUGGGAUUCGUCUGUUCUAAUUGUAGCCUUUCACUUACUGCCCUAAGACUGGCAUGGAAACUAUGUCUUUGAGUGAUGAAAGGGCAUCCGGUGUGUGGAAGCUCCUUGCAGAGUUUCUCCAUAUUGUCUCCUUGAUAGAAUGUAGCUUACUGCUGGCUUGCUUUGCACAUGGCAGUCACUCGGUGCAUGCUGGUGGAAUAAUUGAAUGGAAGCUCCAGGGCCAUCACCUGCACACAGUCCCCCGGAGGCCCUUUCUUCUCUCAUAUCUCAGCUUCCCACUGCUCAGCUUGAUGUCAGGGAGACAUCCUUGGUCUCCAGGAGGUGAGAGGGAACAGAACACUAACACCCCAGUGAAACACAGAUUGACUUAUUGUUUAGCAGCAACCAGGCAGGCAUGGGCUCCCUCCCCGCUGCCAGCAUCCACACGCACCUCCUCCGUAGCCAUGGUAAUAUUUCCCACAUGCCACAAGUCCGUGACAUGGUCCUAAUGAAUAGAAUGCUUUAUGUUUAGCCCCAAACGUGGUCAUUAUCCAUAUAUUUGAAAGAAAAGGCUCAAACAAAAACAAGGACGCCUGAUGCGAAGCUCCCAGCCUGUGGGUUCUUUGCCAUGGGCCUAUUGGAUGGGAGGUUUGGGCUGCAAGACAAGCUGUGACUUUACCUCCUUGAAUGUGCUGAUUCUAAAGAGUCGAUUUCAAUCUAAGGAAGGACAUUGGGGGGAUUGGAAAAAGUGAAGAGAUUGUACAGAAGCUCACAGCUAGCAGGUGAUGGAGGCUGAGCCCAGGAGUGCUUUUUCCACUCUCCCAGGCUGCUUAAAAAAUAAAUUGUAUUUGAAUGUGCUCACAUUAAUUUUGCUACCAGUUUACUGUCGUCAAAAUAGUGUCAAUGAAUGCAAGUUCUUAAAAGACCUGCAAGUCCCACCUGGGAGGUGGGGCAGCACAGGACAUGAGGAGUUGGUGGUGAAUGAGAAUUUGAGAAUGUUCAAUUCAUCCCUCAUUAGCCAUGUGAUCUCAGGCAGCCCGCUGAUCAUUUCUGUGUCUCAGGUUCCUACUCUGUGAGGGAGAGAGAGAGAAUAAUUGCACCCCCUUUGAAUGUAAGCAUCUCCCUUAGGAGAUGAAUACACACGGUGGAGUGACAGUAGCCAAGUUUUUUUUUUUUUAUACUUUAAGUUUUAGGGUACAUGUGCACAACGUGCAGGUUAGUUACAUAUGUAUACAUGUGCCAUGUUGGUGUGCUGCACCCAUUAAGUCGUCAUUUAACAUUAGGUAUAUCUCUAAAUGCUACCCUCCCCCCUACCCCCACCCCACAACAGGCCCCAGUGUGUGAUGUUCCCCUUCCUGUGUCCAUGUGUUCUCAUUGUUCAGUUCCCACCUAUGAGUGAGAACAUGCGGUGUUUGGUUUUUUGUCCUUGUGAUAGUUUGCUGAGAAUGAUGGUUUCCAGCUUCAUCCAUGUCCCUACAAAGGACAUGAACUCAUCAUUUUUUAUGGCUGCAUAGUAUUCCAUGGUGUAUAUGUGCCACAUUUUCUUAAUCCAGUCUAUCAUUGUUGGACAUUUGGGUUGGUUCCAAGUCUUUGCUAUUGUGAAUAGUGCUGCAGUAAACAUACGUGUGCAUGUGUCUUUAUAGCAGUAUGAUUUAUAAUCCUUUGGGUAUAUACCCAGUAAUGGGAUGGCUGGGUCAAAUGGUAUUUCUAGUUCUAGAUCCCUGAGGAAUCGCCACACUGACUUCCACAAUGGUUGAACUAGUUUGCAGUCCCACCAACAGUGUAAAAGUGUUCCUGUUUCUCCACAUCCUCUCCAGCACCUGUUGUUUCCUGACUUUUUAAUGAUCACCAUUCUAACUGGUGUGAGAUGGUAUCUCAUUGUGGUUUUGAUUUGCAUUUCUCUGAUGGCCAGUGAUGAUGAGCAUUUUUUCAUGUGUUUUUUGGCUGCAUAAAUGUCUUCUUUUGAGAAGUGUCUGUUCAUAUCCUUCACCCACUUGUUGAUGGGGUUGUUUGUUUUUUUCUUGUAAAUUUGUUGGAGUUCCUUUCUGAGCUUUCAGUUUCUCAUGGCCCAUAUGAGAUAGUAACGGUACUCACUUCCCCAGACUAUUGCGAUGAUGGCACGCGAUGGGGUGAGUGGGAGGUUUAUCACACAGAAUAAAUGAUACCUUUGGUUAUUUUUAGUGCUGCCCUUAUCCUGGGUCCUAAGAUUCUCUGAUCUCUUCCUAUUGGGUGUUCGUUUGACUAGAUUCCAAGAACAAAAAUUACUUGACCCACACUGGUAGGGCUAGGCAAUCUUUCCAGCCCUCCUGGGUUGGCAGCUGAUGGAUAUCAUCUGUUGGUCUCACUGUCCUUUACUGAGGACACUGGCAAACUUAGGGGGGUUUUCAUCAUGAUGCCAUGCACUGACAUCGUGAGGCAUACCUGUCUCAUUACAGCAGAGACUCAUGUGACCUGGGAACCACUGCAGGUCAAAACUACAGCGCAUGAAAGCCAGGAGUUUACCAAAUGGGUGCAGAGGCUGCCCAGGUGUUUGGGAAUUUAUUUUCAUUGGAAAUUUUUAUCAUUUCUUCACACAUAAGGAUAUUAGUUAUAAGAAGUCUGAAUUUUUUUUUUCCUAACAAGUACAAACUACUUACAAAAUAGUUGCAAGGACAACAGAAAUAAUUUUUUUUUUGCUGGACCUUUUGAGAGUAAGUUGCCUGCAUGAUAUCUUGUCAUCCCUGAAUACGAAUACUUUAGUGUGUAUUUUGUACCAACACAAAUAUGCUCCUACACAACCACAGUAGAGUUAACAGAAUCAGAUAAUCAACGUUGAUAUAUUCCUAAUGCCUAAUUCUCAGACCCUGUUCAUAUUUGCCCCCAGACAUCCUUAAAAACAAAAGGAACCAUCUCAGAGCUACAUGCUGCAUUUGGCUGUUGUGUUUUAUUAGGCUCCAUUCACCUGGAAAAGUUCCUCAGUCUUUCUGUGACUUUCGUGGCCUUGACACUCUAAUGGCUCUAGGCCAGUUACAUUGCAGGAUUUCCCCCAGCACGGGGCUGCCUGAUGCUUCCUCAUGAGCAGAUUCAGGUUUAGCGUCCUUGGCAGGAGAACCCAGGAGCGACCCUGGGACCGCCUCACUCCGUGCUCUCAGGUCGGCAGGACUGCAAUUUGCCCGGUUACUGACGAUGUUCACACUGGUGACCUGAUGGAGGUGGUGUCUGUGGUUUCUUCACUCCUUUCUUCCUUUGUAAUUAAUUAGUAUUACAUGGAGGACUAGCUUAAAACUGUGUAAAUACUCUGCUCUUCAUUCAACGUUUAAUUUAUUCAUUUAUGUUGUAUUUAUGUCAGUAUGGAUGUGUAGUUUUCUAUCUUAUUUAUUGGAUUAUAACCUGGAAUUAUCAUUACUUAUCUUACUGUUCACCUUUGCUGGGGUUUGGAAGCUGUUCCCACUGGCCCGUGUGUUGUCAUUCUCUGAGCAGGUCCUCAAGAUGUUUCUGAGUCAUUGUGGACCCUGCCUGCUCUGGAUCAUGGGUCAGCUGGUUCUCCAAAAAGAGCUGAAUCCCAAGAGGAGAAUGGGCUUUAGAUACCAUGAUCUGGGUGUACCUCAGUGCACAGAGCUGGACAGCAUAUGCAUAUAGACACACACACACACACACACACACACACACACACACAGAUGUUUAUGUCUAUGUUUGUCUCUAGCUCUGUCUAUAUGGAAAGCCAUGAGUUGGUGCUAAUAUCUUCAGUUCACUCAAGCACCUCAGAGUCCACCCCACUUUCUUCCUUUGUAUAUUUGUGACUCUCAUUCACACCCUGUGCCACCCCUGCCAUUUUCUAUCAGCAUUGCCACCUCCCCCUGCACAGUCCGAUUCCAAAUUCUGUAUGAUCUCUGAGGCCAGGCACUGGCCUGCAUCCC
rnacentral:lncRNA from 1 species